UCUAGUUUAAUCAAGCAGGUCCAGAUCGAUUCUCAUUCGAUCUGAAUUACUUUCCUCAUAAAAUUUUUUUUAUUUUGAUUGUCAGAAGAUCGAUCUCCAUAGGUAUUACUAUUUCUAUCCUGAAAGUAAGUUUAAAAGGCAUUUCUCUAGUUAGUCUCUGUGGUGUAGUUCAGUAGGCCCAGAGAACACUAUAAAGUUCAUCUAUCCAAAGUUUCUUUGCUUCAGUGAGCCUUAU
rnacentral:lncRNA from 1 species